rnacentral:rRNA from 1 species
UACGAAGGGUGCAACCGUUGCUCGGAAUUAUUGGGCGUAAAGCGCACGUAGGCGGCUUAGCAAGUCGGAAGUGAAAUCCCACGGCUCAACCGUGGAAGUGCAUUCGAAACUGCAGGGCUAGAGUCCUGGAGAGGAAGGUGGAAUGCUUGGUGUAGAGGUGAAAUUCGUAGAUAUCAAGCGGAACACCGGUGGCGAAGGCGGCCUUCUGGACAGUGACUGACGCUGAGACGCGAAAGCGUGGGGAGCAAACAGG